UGAACGCUGGCAGCAUGCUUUACACAUGCAAGUCGACCGGCAGCGCGGGCUUCGGCCUGGCGGCGAGUGGCGAACGGGUGAGUAAUACAUCGGAACGUGCCCAGUAGUGGGGGAUAGCUCGGCGAAAGCCGGAUUAAUACCGCAUACGACCUGAGGGUGAAAGCGGGGGAUCUUCGGACCUCGCGCUAUUGGAGCGGCCGAUGGCAGAUUAGCUAGUUGGUGGGGUAAAGGCCUACCAAGGCGACGAUCUGUAGCUGGUCUGAGAGGACGACCAGCCACACUGGGACUGAGACACGGCCCAGACUCCUACGGGAGGCAGCAGUGGGGAAUUUUGGACAAUGGGCGAAAGCCUGAUCCAGCAAUGCCGCGUGUGUGAUGAAGGCCUUCGGGUUGUAAAGCACUUUUGGCGGGAACGAAAAGGACUGUGCAAAUACCACGGUUCGAUGACGGUACCCGCAGAAUAAGCACCGGCUAACUACGUG
rnacentral:rRNA from 1 species